rnacentral:sRNA from 1 species
UUUAUUUCAAUUUCCUUUGCUCUAUCACUCCACAGAGCGUUUUUCUCCCUUCUGCAACUCAUUCAAUUCUCAUCAUUUUGCGUGCAAUGAUCUGAAUCGUUUUUGUUGUUUCACCAUUAUUAAUUUUAGUCUGUGGAAGACGUUUCUGAUCAUUCAUGCAAAAUGAUGUCAAUUUGUGGGUUUAUUUUACAGGGACUUAGUUCAGCUUGCAAGACAAAUAGUAACAUGCGAGGUUGCUGUAAGUGUGUUGUUCUUUCCCUAUUUUUUCUUUUAAAACAGUUCGGUGUCCUGUUUUUCUCUAUUGUUUCAUUGAGAUUCAAUAUAUUAGAUCUUAUCAUUCUCUUGUGAGAAGAGAUCUGGCGUUUAUUAGGAAAACCUUCGCAAGGUUGAACGUAGACUGUUUCUCGUUGUUAGAGCUUGUUUGAUCUGGAAUAGAGGUUCGGAUCUCCCGAUGAUAUUUCGUAGGUAAAAAGAGUUAAGAAAAUCUCACCUUACAUAUGCAGAUAUUUUUUUUGCAAGG